AAAUCAAUGUAGUAGGAGGUGCAAUCUCUAUCAAAUGCACAUUUAUUGACCUAAAUAUAUCAAAGUAUUAAAGAUAGCAAUAUAAGCCAUAGUGUAUUUGAGGAGACUUUGAUUGAAAGGAUAAAAGCUAUCAUGGGAUGAAGAUUGGAGUUGAGUUUUUUUGUAAAGGAGAUUGUUCUAAUUUGUGAGUGGUGAGAGUUGUGCAGAUUGUUGGAGCUUGUUGUAUCUAUGGCAUGCUAUAUUGGUAUGAUGGCACUUCCAGAAGGCAUGAAAUAUUGAUUUUAAGGUGUCAUUGUUAUAGAGGGGGCAUUGGUCGUCUCUCUUCAUAACUUGUUGCCAUGUUCCUAUUGGUAUAUUGUCCACUAGUACUUGCCAUUGCUUGGUUGGUACUUUCUUGAGGAGCCAUGAAUGUCAAAGAGUUGUAUAGAACUAUUUUCUAACGUUGAUUUCAAAGUAGUGAUCCUUAAAGAUAGUUUUUUUUUUUUGGGAGAUGGCUUUGGCUUAGCUUUAUUUUCUAUAUACUUAUUUUGUUGUAUAAUUGAAUAUGUUGGUCUGUGCUAAAUUACCUUGUUAUUUCCAUUACUAGUUAAUAGAGUCUAUAAGAAGGUGUUGGAUUGGAGCAACAUCAAUAAGCUAUAUAGUAGUAUUAUUAAAGGGACAAGUGAAGACGUUGAAUUCUUUGAAAAUUCCUGUCAAGUCUUGUCACAUUUCACCUUAACUCAUUUAACUAUCAUAUUGCUAAGGUGGAUGGAUCUCAUAGCUAUGAGGUCUGAUUCUUCAGAAAUUGUGACAAUAUAUUUAUAACCCUGUAAAAUUUUGUUAUUUUAUAUUAAAGAUGUGGAAUAUUUCUAGAAUUAGACCAAUAGUGUCUAAUAUCUACCAAUUGGUGGAUGCAUAAGUUUGGACUUUUCCACAAUACUAAGGUAUAUUGUCAAGUAGUUGAAAAUAUUAUUUUUGACUCUCAUUCCAUUGCUAAUGAAGGAGAAGAUUGUUGUGUUGUGCCAAUCUUAUAUGAUUGAGUUCCAAAGAUCAUUGUAAGUUUG
rnacentral:lncRNA from 1 species